rnacentral:rRNA from 1 species
AGAGUGUUGGGUUAAGUCCCGCAACGAGCGCAACCCUUGUCAUUAGUUGCCAUCAUUUGGUUGGGCACUCUAAUGAGACUGCCGGUGACAAACCGGAGGAAGGUGGGGAUGACGUCAAGUCCUCAUGGCCCUUAUGGGUAGGGCUUCACACGUCAUACAAUGGUCGGUACAGAGGGUUGCCAACCCGCGAGGGGGAGCUAAUCCCACAAAGCCGAUCGUAGUCCGGAUCGCAGUCUGCAACUCGACUGCGUGAAGUCGGAAUCGCUAGUAAUCGUGGAUCAGCAUGUCACGGUGAAUACGUUCCCGGGUCUU